AGUACCACUUUGAGGUGUAUUAUUUAGUUUGGUUUUCAUUUAAUAAAGUACCUUUUGCAUCAUGAUUUGUUGAUGGGAGUUAUGGUUUGAUAGGGUCCCGAAGGAUAGUGAUUUCUUCCUGCGCUGCUUAGUGCUGUAUCGAGGGUGUGUAACUUCGGUUAGACGUUGGGAGGGUUGUGAUAAAUAACUCGGACUAUCUAAUAUCUGGUUUGGGGUUGGAUUAUUUUGUGGUAUUUUGUUUGCAAGGAUGUGGGCGAAAAGAUUAGAGGGUUGUUUGUUGUCGAUAUGUGGGUUGGGUUAGAAUUACCCUGUCUUUAUGUGUGUGUUAAUAUUCUAGGUGUUUUUGUGUUUCCUUAAUGUUUGCUAACCCAGGGGAACGAGUGGUAGUUAUUAUGAUAGAAUAAGUAGUAUGAGUAGUCUUUUUUUUUCUCGGCAGCCUUCGGUCUGUUUAUUAAAAACAUUUCCAUUUGUGUGUAUAGAUGGUAAUGCCUGCCCAAUGUUACAUUUAUGUGAUGAAUGGCCGCAGUAUAUUGACUGUGCUAAGGUAGCAUAAUUAGUUGCCUCAUAAUUGGAGGAUUGUUUGAAUGGUUUAACCAGAGGGUUGUGUAAGAUGGGGAUUUUAUUCGAAAUUGGUGACUGGGUGCAGAAUCCCGGUGUUAUUUGAUAGACGGAAAGACCCCGAGAUCUUUAAUGUUUUUGUGUUUUGCUUGGGGUGAGAGCAUAUAUUUCAUGUGUUUUUUGAUCCUUGUGGAUAGGAGGUGAAAGUUACCUCGGGGAUAACUAGGUAAAAAGUGAGGAGAGAUCAGAUCGAUUUACUUAAUUGCCAUCUCGAUGUUGACUUGGGAACUAUGUGGGGGUGUAGGUGUUCUCAUAUAGGGUCUGUUCGACCUAGGUUCCUUCAUGAGUUGAGUUAAGACCGGCGUGAGCCAGGUCGGUUCUUAUCUAUAUUUGGUGCGGAUUAGUACGAAAGGAUUGUUUGUGCCUUAUGUUA
rnacentral:rRNA from 1 species